ensembl:lncRNA
CUGCGCCGCGGCUCCCGUGGGAACAUGAAGCGUUGCUGCUUGAAAGCUGUGACGACGUGAACACGCGGUGGUUUAGCAGCUCUGGAUCCUCUCUGGGCCGAUGGGUAUGAGCUGGUAUAUAUUUAGCUUACU